rnacentral:lncRNA from 1 species
AUGGUGCGAGAAGAGAAGGUGGUAGAAGAAAAGAUGAAGAAAAAAUUAGUUAAGAAGACUGGGGAUGUGGAGACCCGAAAACAGAAAGUGCUGCAGAUGGAGGAGGAUGAACACAAGCAGCAGGAGCUACUGCAGAAGAGGAGAGAGGAUGAACAGCUUGACAAAGGGAGGAAGAUUGUGGAACUGAAGAAACUGGCAGAGCAGCAACAGGUGGAACAGGCAAAGGAGAGGAGUCACAAACAGCAAGAGAAGGGGAAGGCCCUUCACUUGCAGAUGGAGCUGGCAGUGGUUACAGAGGAAGAGGAAAACCAAAAGAAGGUGGGGAGUUGAGACU